UCUUCUUCUCCUUCUCCUUCUCCUGUAUUCUUCUCCCUUCUGAAUCAAAGAUCAAACCAAAUCAUCUCAUCAUGAAUCAUUCCAAGCGUCACCAGGGUUUCAUUUGCUUGAGAUUUGAAUCUUCCGAUUGUUCAAGCCUUUGAAGCCGAUCCUUUUAAAUUUCCAGUUCCCGAGGUAUUAUCUGUUUGUAACAGCAGUAGUUCAGCAUCUACAGUGGAUUCAACAUCUACAGUGGAUUCAACAUCAGAUAGUUCAUGAUUGAAGAUGCAGUUGAAGUUAUCAUUUGAGUGAAAUGAAUGUUGAUUUAUCAGAAUAUGCAGUUGAAGGUAUCUUAA